CAUAUUGAAUUUAAUGAUAUUUUAUUCAUGCACUUAAUCCAUUGUGUGCUUUUGUGUCUAAACAGGCUUCUUACCGAAUGCUUUGUUGAAGCUGGAAGGCAGGAUGAGGCCAGAAAUUUUGCCAGGCUAGGCUCUGACUUCAUACAGACCCACCAACCUGACCUGCUUCCCUAUAUGUUUUCGUUGCGGGUAAAACUGAGAGGGAAACUGUCUUACGUGCUUUGUAAAGCCCUCACCACAUCACUAUAUGGUAAAAUAUCCUCUGUGCAGGUGCAGCACAACCUAAUCAGUACCAGUGAAGGGAAGGCACUAAUGAAAGGCAACCCCGUGCUGAUGGCCAUUUGCGAAAUUCAAAAACUUAAACAAAGCUUGAGAUUGUCUGGAGUCAGAAAGGAGGACCAGGAAAAGCUGACGGACGUCUGUGCACUGCUGGCUUUAAACAAAUCCGCCGAGUCUUCCUUUAUGAGCUCAGGACCUCGGCUGAUAGAACAGACUCCAGUCAUCUCUCCAGCAUACAGGAUCGAAUUGCUUUUGGAGCUGGCGUUUGUGUCUGUGCAGCUGAAGGAGCCGGAGACGGC
ensembl:lncRNA